rnacentral:misc_RNA from 1 species
GAUGAAGAACGUAGCGAAAUGCGAUAAGUAAUGUGAAUUGCAGAAUUCAGUGAAUCAUCGAAUCUUUGAACGCACCUUGCGCCCCUUGGUAUCCCGAGGGGCAUGCCUGUUCGAGCGUCAUUUCACCACUCAAGCCUGGCUUGGUGUUGGGCGACGUCCUCUUUGGGGACGCGCCUCGAAACGCUCGGCGGCGUGGCACCGGCUUUAAGCGUAGCAGAAUCUUUCGCUUUGGAAGUCGGGGCCCCGUCUGCCGGAAGACCUGCUCGCAAGGUUGACCUCGGAUCAGGCAGGGAUACCCGCUGAACUUAAGCAUAUCAAUAAGCGGAGGA